rnacentral:rRNA from 1 species
UACGGGGGGGGCAAGCGUUGUUCGGAAUUAUUGGGCGUAAAGAGCUCGUAGGCGGUGUGUCACGUCGGCCGUGAAAACCCGGGGCUCAACUCCGGGCUUGCAUUCGAUACGGGCAGGCUAGAGUUCGGUAGGGGAGUCUGGAAUUCCUGGUGUAGCGGUGAAAUGCGCAGAUAUCAGGAGGAACACCGGUGGCGAAGGCGGGACUCUGGGCCGAUACUGACGCUGAGGAGCGAAAGCGUGGGGAGCGAACAGG